rnacentral:lncRNA from 9 species
GGAGAGGCCCAUAUCCAACAGCGAGAGUCAGAAAGGCAGUUGGAGGCCCUUGUGAUCUCUGACCUGCUCUGACACUCGCCUGCCCUCCCUGUUCUGACCCACCGACCUGAACUUGGGUCCAUUUAUACAGCAGAGACCAGCUCUAACAGCAAGAGGCCAGAAAGGCUACUGGAGUCCCUCAGAGUUGCUGAUCUGCUCUGACACUCACUCGCCUGCCCACCCUGCUCUGACCCACCUGAUCCUCACACCCGCCUGGUUACCUUUUCACCAUUUUGAGAGGAGAGGCCCAAGUCCAACAGUGAGAGUCAGAAAGGUGAGCUUGAACUUCUCCCUCACCCACUACCAACACCUCAAGGACAGAGGCCACUGGUGGGUGCCUGCACCACUCAGGUCUGGGGCUGAGGUGACAAGGACUGCCGGCACCAACCACUGAGCAUGCAGCACCCCUCAGGGCCAGAAUGCCCAAGUCCCUUUGAGGAGCCUGAGGUGACAGCUCAG